rnacentral:lncRNA from 1 species
GUUGUUCUGUCUCGCUUGGGUUUUUUAUUGAUCUGUUAAUGGCGUUGUUAUGGGCCCGGUGGGGAGUAGGUACUUGGGUUUGGGAUGCUGCAUUUUUGCUCAUGGCCUUGAGUCAACUCCUCAGAUAUUCGAAACGUGGCUGGGCCGGAAGGCCUGAGAUGGGAUGACUCAGGUCAGGAGGAUUUGUGAGCUUGUUUUGGAGAAGAAAGAGAACGCCUUUGGGGAGGUUUCCAUCACCUGGAUGACCAGCAUCCAACUGCCAUUACUGCCCAGAAGUCAGAUUGCCCAUGGGAUACUGUGGAGUGAAAGAAACACGGAUGACCCCUUUGUUUCUCUGAAACUCCUCCCGCCAAGCCCUUUAGCUCUAUGAAACCCCCUGCUUUCUUCUCUUGUUAAGGUGGAUUUGAGAGAAC